AGUCGAACGAGCUUCCGUUGAAUGACGUGCUUGCAUUGAUUUCAACAAUGAAGAGAGUGGCGAACUGGUGAGUAACACGUGGGAAAUCUGCCCAGAAGCAGGGGAUAACACUUGGAAACAGGUGCUAAUACCGUAUAACAACAAAAUCCGCAUGGAUUUUGUUUGAAAGGUGGCUUCGGCUAUCACUUCUGGAUGAUCCCGCGGCGUAUUAGUUAGUUGGUGAGGUAAAGGCCCACCAAGACGAUGAUACGUAGCCGACCUGAGAGGGUAAUCGGCCACAUUGGGACUGAGACACGGCCCAAACUCCUACGGGAGGCAGCAAUACGGAAUCUUCCACAAUGGACGAAAGUCUGAUGGACCAAUGCCGCGUGAUGAAGAAGGGUUUCGGCUCGUAAAACUCUGUUGUUAAAGAAGAACACUUUGAGAGUAACUGUUCAUGGGUUGACGGUAUUUAACCAGAAAGCCACGGCUAACUACGUGCCAGCAGCCGCGGUAAUACGUAGGUGGCAAGCGUUGUCCGGAUUUAUUGGGCGUAAAGCGAGCGCAGGCGGUUUUUUAAGUCUGAUGUGAAAGCCUUCGGCUUAACCGGAGAAGUGCAUUGGAAACUGGGAGACUUGAGUGCAGAAGAGGACAGUGGAACUCCAUGUGUAGCGGUGGAAUGCGUAGAUAUAUGGAAGAACACCAGUGGCGAAGGCGGCUGUCUAGUCUGUAACUGACGCUGAGGCUCGAAAGCAUGGGUAGCAAACAGGAUUAGAUACCCUGGUAGUCCAUGCCGUAAACGAUGAGUGCUAAGUGUUGGAGGGUUUCCGCCCUUCAGUGCUGCAGCUAACGCAUUAAGCACUCCGCCUGGGGAGUACGACCGCAAGGUUGAAACUCAAAGGAAUUGACGGGGGCCCGCACAAGCGGUGGAGCAUGUGGUUUAAUUCGAAGCUACGCGAAGAACCUUACCAGGUCUUGACAUCUUCUGCCAAUCUUAGAGAUAAGACUUUCCCUUCGGGGACAGAAUGACAGGUGGUGCAUGGUUGUCGUCAGCUCGUGUCGUGAGAUGUUGGGUUAAGUCCCGCAACGAGCGCAACCCUUAUUUCAGUUGCCACAUUCAGUUGGGCACUCUGGGAGACUGCCGGUGACAAACCGGAGGAAGGUGGGGAUGACGUCAAAUCAUCAUGCCCCUUAUGACCUGGGCUACACACGUGCUACAAUGGACGUACAACGAGUCGCGAAGUCGUGA
rnacentral:rRNA from 1 species